rnacentral:rRNA from 1 species
GACAGAGGUGCCGAGCGUUAGGCGGAAUCACUGGGCUUAAAGCGUGUGUAGGCGGAGUUCUAAGUACCUUGUGAAAUCCCACGGCUUAACCGUGGAACUGCUUGGUAUACUGGUUCUCUUGGGCCAUCUAGGGGCUACUGGAACAAACGGUGGAGCGGUGAAAUGCGUAGAUAUCAUUUGGAACGCCAAUGGUGAAAACAGGUAGCUGGGAGUGUGCUGACGCUGAGACACGAAAGCCAGGGGAGCAAACGGG